rnacentral:rRNA from 1 species
GCGCGAAAACUUUGCAAUGCGGGAAACCGUGACAAGGGAACUCUGAGUGCCCGUUAAAUCGGGCUGUCCAUCGGUUUAAAUAACCGGUGGAGAAAGGGCCGGGCAAGACCGGUGCCAGCCGCCGCGGUAAUACCGGCGGCUCGAGUGGUGGCCACUAUUACUGGGCUUAAAGCGUUCGUAGCUGGUUUGUUAAGUCUCUGGGGAAAUCUUCCGGCUUAACCGGAAGGCGUCUCAGGGAUACUGGCAGACUAGGGACCGGGAGAGGUGAGAGGUACUCCAGGGGUAGGAGUGAAAUCCUGUAAUCCUUGGGGGACCACCUGUGGCGAAGGCGUCUCACCAGAACGGCUCCGACAGUGAGGGACGAAAGCUGGGGGAGCAAACCGGAUUAGAUACCCGGGCAGUCCCAGCUGUAAACGAUGCGCGUUAGGUGUAUCGGUGACCACGAGUCACCGAGGUGCCGAAGAGAAAUCGUGAAACGUGCCGCCUGGGAAGUACGGUCGCAAGGCUGAAACUUAAAGGAAUUGGCGGGGGAGCAC